GGAAGUGUACUCAAGUGGCUAAAGAGGCCUGGUUGCUAACCAGUUAGGUCGAGUAAUCGGCGCGCAGGUUCGAAUCCUGUCACUUCCACCA
rnacentral:tRNA from 1 species